rnacentral:rRNA from 1 species
AGCGAACGUUAGCGGCGGGCCUAACACAUGCAAGUCGAACGAGAAAACCUUCGGGUGAGUAAAGUGGCGCACGGGUGAGGAACGCGUAGGUAAUCUACCCUCUGGCGGGGGACAACACUCCGAAAGGAAUGCUAAUACCGCGUAAGACCCCACCUACUACGGUAGGAGAGGUUAAAGGUGCCUCAAAGCACCACCAGAGGAUGAGCCUGCGUCCCAUCAGCUUGUGGUGAGGUAAAGCUUACCAAGGCGAAGACGGGUAGCUGGUCUGAGAGGAUGAUCAGCCACACUGGCACUGGAACACGGG